UGAUGGUGGCCUUUAUGGGGACAGAUGUCCGUGUCACGCAUUUCUGAGUCGGCGGUGUGGCCGGUGACUAGACCCCCUGCCCCCUGGGC
rnacentral:sRNA from 1 species